rnacentral:rRNA from 1 species
UACGUAGGGCGCAAGCGUUAUCCGGAAUUAUUGGGCGUAAAGAGCUCGUAGGCGGUUUGUCGCGUCUGCCGUGAAAGUCCGGGGCUCAACUCCGGAUCUGCGGUGGGUACGGGCAGACUAGAGUGAUGUAGGGGAGACUGGAAUUCCUGGUGUAGCGGUGAAAUGCGCAGAUAUCAGGAGGAACACCGAUGGCGAAGGCAGCUCGCUGGACGUAACUGACGCUGAGACGCGAAAGCGUGGGGAGCAAACAGG